rnacentral:rRNA from 1 species
GAUCCUGGCUCAGGAUGAACGCUGGCGGCGUGCUUAACACAUGCAAGUCGAACGGAGUGCUCAUGACGGAGGAUUCGUCCAACGGAUUGAGUUACUUAGUGGCGGACGGGUGAGUAACGCGUGAGGAACCUGCCUCGGAGUGGGGAAUAACAGACCGAAAGGCCUGCUAAUACCGCAUGAUACAGUUGGGUCGCAUGACUCUGACUGUCAAAGAUUUAUCG